rnacentral:rRNA from 1 species
AUUGAACGCUGGCGGCAGGCUUAACACAUGCAAGUCGAACGCGUGGCGGACGGGUGAGUAAUGCUUGGGAAUCUGGCUUAUGGCGGGGGAUAACUACGGGAAACUGUCGCUAAUACCGCGCACCAUAGGAUUAGCCCUAGAGGGAUUAUGUAGUUGGUGGGGGAAUGGCCUACCAAGCAGACGAUCCCUAGCUGGUCUGAGCGGUUGACCAGCCACACCGGGACUGAGACACGGCCCGGACUCCGACGGUAGGCAGCAGUGGGGAAUAUUGCGCAAUGGGGGCAACCUGACGCAGCCAUGCCGCGUGAAUGAAGAAGGCCUUCGGGUUGUAAAGUUCUUUCGGGGACGAGGCGUGAAUCACAGAAGAAGCACCGGCUAACUCCGUGCCAGCAGCCGCGGUAAUUC